rnacentral:rRNA from 1 species
CCUGCGGAGGGAUCAUUACCGAGUUUACAACUCCCAAACCCCUGUGAACAUACCUUAAUGUUGCCUCGGCGGAUCAGCCCGCGCCCCGUAAAACGGGACGGCCCGCCAGAGGACCCAAACUCUAAUGUUUCUUAUUGUAACUUCUGAGUAAAACAAACAAAUAAAUCAAAACUUUCAACAACGGAUCUCUUGGUUCUGGCAUCGAUGAAGAACGCAGCAAAAUGCGAUAAGUAAUGUGAAUUGCAGAAUUCAGUGAAUCAUCGAAUCUUUGAACGCACAUUGCGCCCGCUGGUAUUCCGGCGGGCAUGCCUGUUCGAGCGUCAUUUCAACCCUCAAGCCCCCGGGUUUGGUGUUGGGGAUCGGCUCUGCCCUUCUGGGCGGUGCCGCCCCCGAAAUACAUUGGCGGUCUCGCUGCAGCCUCCAUUGCGUAGUAGCUAACACCUCGCAACUGGAACGCGGCGCGGCCAUGCCGUAAAACCCCAACUUCUGAAUGUUGACCUCGGAUCAGGUAGGAAUACCCGCUGAACUUAAGCAUAUCAAUAAG